UUCUAAGUAGGGCAUCCUUAGAAACUCAGAAGUUGGAUCUGAUGGCUGAAAUAUCUAACUUGAAGUUGAAACUGACAGCUGUAGAGAAGGACAGAUUGGAUUAUGAAGCUAAGUUCAGAGACACAGAGGGGCUGAUUCAGGAGAUCAAUGAUUUGAGGUUAAAAGUUAGUGAAAUGGGCAGUGAGAGACUUCAGUAUGAAAAAAAGCAUGAAUCAACCAAACAAGGAUUGUCUUCAAUCUGGAAAUGACAGAACAAUCACCCUUUAAAAUAAGGAAGUGCAAUUCAGUGAAGACAGGUGCUACUGUCUUCCCGUCAGUCUGUGUUACCCCAGAACCAUCUCUGUUCUAAGCCAAGGUGUGGAAGAAGCCCUUCCCAUAAUUCUGCUAAGCUUUGUCAUGCAAUCUCAUGGUGUCUCCAUCAGACAUCUGAAUUGAGCCUUGAAGUGUGAGUAGGAGUUCAUCAGGGCUGCAUAGUGUUCCAUGGAUGCUUAGACCACAAUUUACUUAGCCAACCCCUACUGAGGAACACUGAAGUUGUUUCCUGUUUUUCAAAAGUAUAAACAAAGUCAGCUGUCCAGUGAUCAUGAAACAAGCUCGAGGGUAGAAUCCAGCACUAUGGACGGGAUUAUAGACAGAGGAAGGAGACUGGCCAACACUGACGAUGUCGCAGAACAACCCAACAGCACUGAUUUAUCUUACAUGAGAAGAUAAAUGAGAAAAAACAAAUUUCUGACUUGUGUAAGCUAGUAAGUUGGGUUUUUAUCUUAUGUAUUUGAACUCAAUCCUAACCCAAACACUCCGUGUUCACGUGCCAUUAGCAAAAGGUCACAACCAUUGUCAGAAUCAAUCAUUUUGAGAUAAUACAUAAUAUAUAACACAGCAAGGUAAUUAAAAAUGAAUAAUAAUAAAAUCAAGAAACCUGUGGGAAGCUCCCACAAGUCAUCACAGCUUGCAUGCAGCUGACUAAAAUAGGGGAUUCCCACAGGUUAGUUCAUCCAGAAACUGCUGGGAACUUCAGGUCUGCAGUCAGCCCACAUAUCCACCUAGAGUGGCCUCCAGAGAGUGAUGACUUCACCUUAUUGCCUACUUUCUGCAGCUCAUUUGGGUGCCUCUCAUUUGCAGAUGCUACUCUGGAACUAUAUGGGGAAGGGGAUUCUAAGAAAUGGAAUUCUUGGUUCCUCUUUUCCAUUGCAUAGGAGGAAGGCAGCGAUGUUGACAACAAGCAAGCCUAAAUCUGCAUUAAGUUUUGUUUCAUCACUUAUUGAUUAUUAUUAUUAUUAUUGAGACAGGGUCUUGCUCUGUCACCCAGGCUGGAGUACAGUGGUGAAAUCAUAGCUCACUGUAAUCUUGACCUCCUGGGCUCAAGCAAUCCUCCAUGAUGGUACAUGUCUGUAGUCCUAGCUAGCUCUCAGAGACUAGGACUACGGACAUGCACCACCAUGCCUGACUUUUUUAUUUUUAUUUUUGUAGAGAUGAGGUUUGGCUACCUCGACCAGGCUGGUCUCAAACUCCUGGCCUCAAGUAAUUGUCCUGCCUUGGCCUCCCAACAUGCUGGGCUUAUAGACAUGAGCCACUGCACCCAGACUGUUUUAUUUUUUUUAAAACCUUUUUGUUUGUUUUAAAAGUCUAUGUAUUAAUAACCAUCAGAGUAAACAGACAACCCACAGAAUAGGAGAAAAUAUUUGCAAACCAUGCAUCUGACAAAAACUAAUGCCCAGAAUCUUCAAGGAACUCAAAUUAGUAAGAAAAAAAAUCCCAUCAAAAAGUAGGCAAAUGACAUGAACAGAGAAUUCUCAGAAGAAGAUAGACAAAUGGCCAACAAACACAUGAAAAAAUGCCCAACAUCACUAAUCGUCAGGGAAAUUCAAAUUAAAACCACAAUGAGAUAGCAUAACCUUACUCCAGCCAGGAUGGCCAUCAUUAAAAAGUCAAAAAAUAAUAGCUGUUGGCCAGGAUGUGAUGAAAAGGGAAUGCUUAUACACUGCUUAUGGGAAUAUAAAUCAGGACAACCUCUAUGGGAAACAGUAUGGUGAUUUCUUAAAGAACUAAAAGGAGAUCUACCAGUAUAUCCAGCAUUCCCAACACUGGGUAUCUACCCCCUCAAAAAGAAGUCAUUAUAUCAAAGAUACCUGCCCUUGUAUGUUUAUUGCAGCACAAUUUCCAAUUGCAAAGAUAUGGAACCAUCCUAAGGGCCCACUGACCAAUGAGUGGAUAAAGAAAAUGUGGUAUGUGUACACCAUGGAAUACUACUCAGCUGUAACAAAGAACAAAAUAUUGCUAUUCAGCAACUUGGAUGGUGCUGGAGGCCAUUAUUCCAAGUGAUGUAACUCAGUAAUAGAAAACCAAAUACUGUAUAUUCUCACUUAGCAGUGAGAGCUAAGCUAUGGGUACACAAAGGCGUACAGGGUGGUAUAAUGGACUAUGGAGGCUCAGAAGGGGGAGGGUAGGAGAGAGUGUGGGAUAAAAACUAUGUAUUGGGUACAGUGUACACUACUUGGGUGACAGGUGCACUAAAAUCUCAGGCUUCACCACUAUACAAUUCAUCCAUGUAACCACAAACCACUUGCACCCCAGAAGCUAUAGAAAUAAAAUAAAAAUAAAAUCCCUUCCAUAACUGAAUAAAACAAAAUAAAAUGUCUAUAUAUUG